rnacentral:lncRNA from 1 species
GUGUGUGUUCUGGUCGACAGGAAAGAAAAAAGGGUUUCAAGAACCCUAACACAAACUUGAUCAAUUGGAGGAAAAAUUAAGGGCUAAUCACUGCAUGAUUAUGAAAUUGUAAUGUACUUUACUAUCUCAUGAUUAGGUAAGUCUCAAAUUUUGUUUUUGUUAGAAUGCCUAUGAUGGAGAAAUUCUUGAUUGAGUAUGUUGGUGAUGGUUUAGCUUGUAUUGGGUAAAAUUGAUGUUUAUGGAGGAUUAGGAACAUCAAUCUACCAUUAGUAAGAUUAAAAUUAGUGAAUUGUUCAUGAUUAGUAUACAACAUGCUUUAGGAAGUUGUACUUUAUGCUAAGAAUGACUUAUGCACACUAGGUGUUUGAUGAAAUGCCUAGAUGAGCCAAGAAUUUUGGUUACUAUGUAAAUGGAGACUAGUUGCUAUGAUGCAUGUUUUGAUGUCCUAGCUUAAAUCUGAUUCAUGUUAGAUCAUAUUUAAACCGUAAAGAGUCGUAUCAUAAUGUGAUUAGCAUGUUUAAAAUGCAUUGAAUGAAUUGAGACAUGAGAAAUCCAUAGAUGAGGUAGUCGUUAUGUUAUGAUGACUAACUAAUCAAGUGUGGUGAAUGUUGUAUCAAGUUGAUCCUAUCAAGCUAGGUGAAAGCUUGGACGAAGCGGGUCACGAGCUAAUGGAGUGCGGGACUUCUAAAUGACAAAUAAAGGCGACUCGUUUGAUAAGGCGGAUGAUAAGGUUGGGGGCUAUACACGACUUAAAGGGAAGAUCUAAGGUGUAGUUGGCGAUAGUCCGGAUGGCGAUCAAGCAAGAUUUCAAUUACCGAACACAACACUUGAAGCUUCUGCGUUAUUAUAUUUUGGUUUAACUAAAUAUGAACAUGUAACUUUUGAUGUCACUUUUAGAACGUCUUAAACUAGUAGGGAUGUUAAUCCUAAGUACUCUAAUCAUGUAUGGAUGUUAAACUUAACAAUUUUUGUUAACCCGUAUUUUACGCAAACUAAAUGCGUAUU